UGAGGGCAGACGUUACUCGAACCGUAGUUCAAAACAGACGUCUUUAAUAAAUCUAGGAUAAAUUGUAUCAAUUGGAAAAAGUGAGGAUAAUGCAUUCUGAGUUAGCAGAACAAACACAAGGAUUUUUAUAAGUACGAGUAACAGUGACAUUAAUAUAUUGCAAGGUUGGACUAUUUGAGAUCAUAACUUUAAUGUAAUAACAUUUUGUGAAGAGGCGCCUAAAUAAUUUAUCUCCACUAUCGGGAUAAUAGAAGUUACUUCCCUCUAGUCCCAAUUCAAUCAAGGAGUCAUUAGUUUUCACACCACAGGAUUUAUGAGUGCUGGAAAAAUAUCCUUCCCAAAAUGAGAUGAAAAGCCGUCAAAAUUAUUGUGACUAUGGGCCGAAAUUCAGGAGGGGUGGAGUCAAAUGGCGAGCUACGGAUACUCCUGGUGGUCACCGUGGUGGUGGGGCUGCUUCUCAUGCUGUCACUCCUGAUGUGCUAUGCUUGUGUGCUCAAGCGACUGUGCUGCGGAGAGCCGAGGGAACGGGCGAAGAACGUAGCCGCGGGAAGACGGACUGAGAGCUACCCAAUGGGUGAUGUGACGCUACUCUCCCAACCUACCGAGAGCGAGCGCGUCUGACGUUCCAAAGACAUAAAACUAAAUAUCUAUCGCCUUUUGUUAUCCUUACCGUUACAGGCUAUAAAUUCGCGUUUCAUCUUAAAAUAGAGGAAUAAAAAUAGAACAACAUACCUACCUAAGUGACGUAAAAUGUUUGCAUCUUACACAGAAAGAUGAAUCCAUUAACGGACUCUUUAUAGCUAACAUUAGUCUGUUACUUGACCAUAGCAUUACUAUAGGACUAUUUAAUCAAUUAAGUUGUAUUGUAAGUGAAGCCACCAACUUGAUUGGUUUUUAUUAUACAUGUCAUGAUGUAUGUUUAAUUACUUUAUAUUUAGUUACCUUCUAGUCAUGUGUGCUGCACAUCACAAUGUUUUGGAUAUGAAACAAAUAGUACCAAAUGAGGUAAAGUUAUUUAUUUGAGUUGAGACCCGCGGCAGUUAUUUCCAUUUUUCGUUACAAUGAACGUAAACUGUUUAGAAUUAAAUAUUAAUGUGUACAGUAUGUAGUGGUAGUGGUGUGUGGUAUAAUAAAGUAGGUAUUUGAUAUCCAUCCCUUUUUUAAACCUAAUUAUACGCUAGGUUGCUCAUUUUCAGUGUUCGCUCAGCCGGUUUCAAUGUAACGCCUUUCAUCUUUUUAUAGUCAAUAAGUUAAUAAUUACUUAGUUACUGUGUUAUUUACAAUGAGUCAUUUAGAUCUCAACGGGCUUGACUCCCUUAUUGUAACAAAUCAGAAAAGUAAAUUGUCUGAAUGAUACUAAAAAGUUUUUUAAACUUGACCACCACAAGAGUUGCCAGAUAAAGCUAUGUAAAGUAGUCUCUUGUAAACGAGCAAAAUUUUUCAUUCCUUAAAAAACACUACAGCAAUGUUGCAAGAGUCAAUCGACGACAACGUUCAUGUUCGGCACAUUCUUACUCCAGAACAGAAUGGUAACAGCCAUUAUGAUGUUAGUGUCGUAAUAUCGUCGAAAAAGCUUGCCGUGCCAGAUUUACCAACACGUUUUGCUCAUUUACGAUGCUUUGAGUGCUGCUCGAACAAUAGGGAUCAUCUCGAAAUAGAAAAAAAAUGCGGACUCUUAUUUUUCUCGAGAAAAAAUUAAGUCACUAGCUUAAAGUCAUAAAAGCGCUGCCGAACUUCCAGUCUACUUGUCUAUUCGAUGUUACUUUAAAUAGAAUUGAUUACUCGAGAGAAGAAAGAGUUCGAGAUCGCCUUUGAGUUAAUAAAUUGAUGUAUAUGGUAUAACUUUAGCAUUUUACUGUUGAAAUAAAAGAUGUAAUGUAAAAACAACAAUUAUGUAUUUAACCGAUAUCUCCAUCAAUACAAAUAUAAAAUGUGUAAGGCAAUCGCAUCCAAAGGCACUAUUUCGUGUAUAUUGUCUUGUUUACACAGACCUAUAUAAUUUGUAACAUAAAACCAUUAUAAUAUUUAUUUGCUUAGUUAGCUCUAAAUAGGCAAACUAUUUUUACUAUUUAUUUUUUACUUACAUUCUAGUUUUAAAUUUACUAACAAUAUUCAACAAACUAAGCAAAAUAUACAUUUUUAAUAGUG